GAGGGUAUAGCUCAGUGGUAGAGCAAGUGCUUAGCAUGCACAAGGUCCUGGGUUCAAUCCUCAGCACCUCCA
rnacentral:tRNA from 1 species